GCCUGGGUGGCUCAGUUGGUUAAGUGUCUGACUUCGGCUCAGGUCAUGAUCUCACAGCUUGUGGGUUUGAGCCCCGCAUCAGGCU
rnacentral:tRNA from 1 species